AGCGCUGUUACCAUGACAACCGACUGUCAGCAUUAAGGGGCGGGGCCUUCUGCGGGCGGUUACUAUGGCAACUGACAACCUCAGCAGGAACCGAGACAUGGACCCUCCGAGUGAGCUAACGAAGAAGUCUCAGGUUUGCCUCUGGAGGGAUUUGACCAUGCAGGAUUUGGAUGUCCUACAGGAAACAAAUCACAUAGAGGAAUUUCACAGGACUCUGUCACAAAUUCUGGGUAUUGAGGUCACUGUAUCGGAGUGGCGUGCCCCCAUCCUCCUGGACUUGUUUUACUACACAUGGAGCUUCUGCCAGCGCUGCAGGUUCAGCAAAGAGCAAACCUAGUGUGUGUUCUCCAUCGUUAAAGAUACUCAUUCUGCGUGUGCUGGCUAUGCUGUAGGAAAUCCUGAUGACUGUUUCAGACAUUUUCAAGAGCUGCUGCGCUGUCAUGCAGUCCAUCGACCCCCAUUUAGUGUGAAUCUCUUUACACAGCAGCAGAUUGAGCACAUUUCAGGAUACUUUCUAAAUACAUAUUUUCGCCAUUUUAAACUCUACAAAUACGUCUUCACACCACAGGUGCGGCUGGAUCUCGACAUUUCAUAUAACAGUAUCCCUGAUCCGGGAAUAAGACGGGACCAGGACCUGGGUAUGUUUGGUGCAUAGCAGCCUGUUAAAAGACCGCAGGGAGGAUACACGGAGCGCUGAUUGUAUACAGUGAGCGCCCUGUCAGCGUUUUCCCUUCAAUCUCCCCGCAGGAUACACAGAGCACUGAUUGUAUACAGUGAGCGCCCUGUCAGCGUUUUCCUUCUAUCUCCCCGCAGGAUACACGGUGCGCUGAUUGUAUACAGUGAGCGCCCUGUCAGCGGUUUCCCUUCAAUCUCCCCGCAGGAUACACGCUGCGCUGAUUGUAUACAGUGAGCGCCCUGUCAGCGUUUUCCCUUCUAUCUCUCCCCGCAGGAUACACGGAGCGCUGAUUGUAUACAGUGAGCGCCCUGUCAGCGUUUUCCCUUCUAUCUCCCCGCAGGAUACACAGAGCGCUGAUUGUAUACAGUGAGCGCCCUGUCAGCGUUUUCCCUUCUAUCUCCCCGCAGGAUACACAGAGCGCUGAUUGUAUACAGUGAGCGCCCUGUCAGCGUUUUCCCUUCUCUCUCUCCCCGCAGGAUACACGGAGCGCUGAUUGUAUACAGUGAGCGCCCUGUCAGCGUUUUCCCUUCUAUCUCCCCGCAGGAUACACGCUGCGCUGAUUGUAUACAGUGAGUGCCCUGUCAGCGUUUUCCCUUCAAUCUCCCCGCAGGAUACACGCUGCGCUGAUUGUAUACAGUGAGCGCCCUGUCAGCGUUUUCCCUUCUAUCUCCCCGCAGGAUACACGCUGCGCUGAUUGUAUACAGUGAGUGCCCUGUCAGCGUUUUCCCUUCAAUCUCCCCGCAGGAUACACGCUGCGCUGAUUGUAUACAGUGAGCGCCCUGUCAGCGUUUUCCCUUCUAUCUCCCCGCAGGAUACACGCUGCGCUGAUUGUAUACAGUGAGUGCCCUGUCAGCGUUUUCCCUUCAAUCUCCCCGCAGGAUACACGCUGCGCUGAUUGUAUACAGUGAGCGCCCUG